UUCAGCAGUAAAGUUAUGACGAUCAUUUAUUAAUACAGUGAUCACUGAUGGUUACAAUAUCAACAACUGAACACACUGUAUUGGCAUGCAGGGGUGUCAUGCACCCCAAAAAUCAGAGUGGGCACAAAUUACAUAAGGAUGGCUGGGGGGGGUGGUCUGGAGUGAUGGGAAGAUGGAUCAUUUAGCAUUUUUCAACCACCUGAAAACAGCUUUUUCCUGCAAUCUAGAGCCAUAAUCAUUUUGUCAAAAAUAUUUGUAUUUUUCAAAAUAUCUAAGCAAACCUCUUGAGCUGUCUGUAUAAUCAUGACUGGUGUCUUUUUGUUUUAAAUAACAAAUGUUAUUCUCUGCAUCUCUGCAAAAAUCUGAGUAAAAGAUGGAAAGGAAUGUGAGUCUUAUUCAGUACAUUUAGUAAUUGCUUGCUUUUCUAAAAUCUACCAGCCUUUUCAGCAUGCAUGCCAACUAAGAUAGUUAGACAAGCUAGCUACUCUAACUUGAUUGAUAGCCUGAAACGACUUCUUGGUAGCUAGUUAUGAGGUUGGGAACUUAUCUGGGCUAGGUAAAGCCAACAACAACAAAAUGUUUUACCAAAAAAUGGAUACAUCUUUUUUAAACCGGAUAUGCAUGAUGCCUCUGUUGGCAUGCUAUAAUAGCUGGUGCUGAGUUGUUUAAAAAGGUUGGCUACAAAACAAUGUUUUAGCUUUUCGUUAACGCUGCAACUUUGGAUUGCAAUAUUUAUUGACUGGUCACUUUUACACAUUUGUUUUGUUUAGUUUGGUAGGAUUUAGUGCUCUACUUAAUAACAGUAAACUGGCUUUCUACUCUGCUGGAGGUGGAGAAACUGGGGACCCAACCUGUUCACGGGAUUUCACAUAAUCCAUCCAUUUUAGGGAAGGAAAUUAAUUUCAAUACACUGGGAGUUCUUGGUAGCAUUUUGUUUAAAGGUUCAGCUACCGGUUGUUUACCUGGUAUAUGGAAUGGUGUUCUAAUUUAGUAUCAACGAAACAAAUCAAUUAUUCAUAGGUAUUAUUGUAUAAUUACCAUUUUACCAUGCAAUUUCUAUGUACAUACCAAUAAUUCCAUAAAAAGAUUUCAUGCAAAAUAGUUGAGAUUUUAAUAACCAAGUAUUGUAAAUCUGAGUCAUUAGUGAAAACAGCAUACAUGGGAGACCCUGCAGGGCUGAGAUCCCUUGUAAAGACGGGUAGGUUGUUUAGCAACAAAACCGAACCAUGUACAACUAAUGGGGCAAAACAUACAGGGUUGGCUUGGAUUGUUGAUCACAGGUAAACUAUAUUUUGUCUCCAAUGUUUACUGAAAAAAUAAAUACAAUUGCACAAUGAGCACUCAAAUACAUUGUUACAGUUGUUGGUUAGCUAGCUAGCUCGCAAAUCUUUGCCAUAAUAGCAUAGAUGUGACGUGGCAUAAGUCAAAACACCUCACAACAAGACAAGUACAAGAGCAAACGAGCCACUUACGAUUCCCCACACGUCAGUUUUGCUAGCUAUCUGGCCACCCAGAAGCAUAACAACACACAGCUUCUGCCCCUUUGAAGCGCACACAAUGUUUUCAUGACGUUGUCAGCGAACCCGUCUAUAGCACAGAGGUCCCAGCUGCCUCUGUCAUGACUCUAAGACAUGGACAUACAUACAUACACAACACCAUAAGAGGCCCCGGUCGGAGCGUUGAAAUCAUGUCAUUGACCUGAGCCGUACAUCUAUAUGAGCAUUGACUGUAUCUCAAAUGAUACCCUAUUCCCGGUUGAACACUCAUGUCGGGAUUCCACCUCUACUCUUUCUCACUCACUCACACACAAACGUGCACAAAGAUGCACAAUCGUAAGGCAGACAUACAAAAAAAUGAAAUGUCAACAAUACAUAAAUUAAGCAAAAUGUAAACAUAGGUCUAUAUAUCUCAAAAUGUGGCACAAAAACAUAUAACAUCAAUAAAAUCAAUAAAUAAUACGAUUUAUCAGAAUCAGACAAAACUAAAAACACACAAAUAUUACAAGAACAUACAAAUAAAUCCAAACAGCAGUGUUCCAGACCAAAGUCGGCACACACACAUCAUGAUGUGUUAUUAUAAUACAUGAUAAAUAACCUAUAGGAGCGCGUAAGACAGAGGUGGUAAGUGGGAGGAGCUAUAGGAAUGGAAUAAAUGGAACGUAUCAAACAUAUGAAACCACGUUAAACUCCACUCCGGCCAUUACAAUGAGCCAGUCCUCCUAUAGCUUCUCCCACCAGCCAGAGUAAGCCACAUUUACACAUCCACAGACCAAAUCAAUUGCACAGUUCAUUGUUAUCUAAUGCCAUAGAUAUGGACACAAUAGUCAGAUAUCAUCCAUGUAGCAGCAAAAAAGCAAAGAUGCAAAUGAAAGGCUAAAGUUAGUGUUUCAUCAACAUAUCUUCUCUAAAUGUCUGAAGUUGGUAUUUACAGUGAUUAGGAACAUCAUGAAAAUACAGUGUAUGUCGGCUACUGUAUAUAUUUAUGUGGGUUAAUAAUGUAAUGUCUAUUCAAAUAUGUGCAUCGCUUUGGAGAUGCUAGGGCCUAUAUGGAGCAUGCCAGACCACAAGGGGGAACUGUGAGAGGACAGGGAGACACAGGGGUCAAAGACUGCUAAGGAGAAGGAUGACGUUGCCCCUUAGCACUAAUGCAGGGUCAGUAUUCAUUCAUUAUCUUAAUGGUUAAAGUUAGCAUCAAGGGUGGGGUGAGCUGAUCCUAGACCUGUGCCUCAGGGAAACUUCUCCACAGUGUCAGAGACUGCUAAGCUCAUAUGGAGUAGGAGGACGUUGCCCCUAGAUGCUGGUCCAAGGUCAAUCUUGUGUUGGGGAGGGUAAGCUGAUCCUAGAUCAGUGCUUACUUGGAACUUUUACCAGCAGAGUCAUUCAGUGGAGGAGUUUAAGGUACUGAGAGAAGCUCAUGGCACAGUAGCAUUAAGGAAUGGUGUUUCUUUACAAUAAGUUACAAUAAUGAGAGAGGGGGGAAAAGAAAGUGAGAGAGACGAGAGAGAGGGGGGAGAGGGGAGAGAACGUGAGAAAGAGAGAG
ensembl:lncRNA